rnacentral:misc_RNA from 1 species
GAUGAAGAACGCAGCGAAAUGCGAUAAGUAGUGUGAAUUGCAGAAUUCAGUGAAUCAUCGAAUCUUUGAACGCACAUUGCGCCCUUUGGUAUUCCCUAGGGCAUGCCUGUUCGAGCGUCAUUUAAACCUUCAAGCUCAGCUUGGUGUUGGGUGACUGUCCGCUUCACCGCGGACUCGCCUCAAAAUUAUUGGCGGCCGGUACAUUGGCUCUCGAGCGCAGCAGAAACGCGUAACUCGAGGUCCUCGUGCUGGCUCCCAGAAGCUAUCUUCACAAUUUUGACCUCGGAUCAGGUAGGGAUACCCGCUGAACUUAAGCAUAUCAAUAAGCGGAGGA